GACGAACGCUGGCGGCGUGCUUAACACAUGCAAGUCGAGCGAUGAAGUUCCUUCGGGAAUGGAUUAGCGGCGGACGGGUGAGUAACACGUGGGUAACCUGCCUCAUAGAGGGGAAUAGCCUUUCGAAAGGAAGAUUAAUACCGCAUAAGAAUGUAGUACCGCAUGGUAAAGCAAUUAAGGGAGUAAUCCGCUAUGAGAUGGACCCGCGUCGCAUUAGCUAGUUGGUGAGGUAACGGCUCACCAAGGCGACGAUGCGUAGCCGACCUGAGAGGGUGAUCGGCCACAUUGGGACUGAGACGCGGCCCAGACUCCUACGGGAGGCAGCAGUGGGGAAUAUUGCACAAUGGGGGAAACCCUGAUGCAGCAACGCCGCGUGAGUGAUGACGGUCUUCGGAUUGUAAAGCUCUGUCUUCAGGGACGAUAAUGACGGUACCUGAGGAGGAAGCCACGGCUAACUUCGUGCCAGCAGCCGCCGUAA
rnacentral:rRNA from 1 species